GAUGAAGAACGUAGCGAAAUGCGAUAAGUAAUGCGAAUUGCAGAAUUUCCGUGAGUCAUCGAAUCUUUGAACGCACAUUGCGCCCACUGGUAUUCCGGUGGGCAUGCCUGUUCGAGCGUCAUUAUCCUCCCUCAAACCCCGGGUUUGGUGUUGGACCCAAGUUGUGUGAACAACUGGUCUCAAAGACAAUGACGGCGUCCGUGGGACCCUCGGUGCAACGAGCUUUUAGGAGCACGCAUCGAGUUGCAAGGACCUUCCGGGCCGGUCUCCUUUACCAUUUUACAAGGUUGACCUCGGAUCAGGUAGGAAUACCCGUUGAACUUAAGCAUAUCAAUAAGCGGAGGA
rnacentral:misc_RNA from 1 species